AGUUUAUUACAGAAUUUGCAUUGUCUUUGAUUGGUGUAAUAUCUAAGGUACCAAUCUGGGGACAGGCAAGUUCUCCUGCAAUUGAUACAGUUGACUUAGAAAGAAUCUUAUAGCUUCUUCUUACAAAGGACCAUGGAAUAUUCACCCACACAGUCAAACAGGAAGACAGGCAAAGCUGUGGAGGGAAUCUGGACUGGAACCGAAGUGG